UACGUAGGGGGCAAGCGUUGUCCGGAAUUAUUGGGCGUAAAGCGCGCGCAGGCGGCUUCUUAAGUCUGAUGUGAAAGCCCACGGCUCAACCGUGGAGGGUCAUUGGAAACUGGGAAGCUUGAGUGCAGAAGAGGAGAGUGGAAUUCCACGUGUAGCGGUGAAAUGCGUAGAUAUGUGGAGGAACACCAGUGGCGAAAGCGGCUCUCUGGGCCGAUACUGACGCUGAGGAGCGAAAGCGUGGGGAGCGAACAGG
rnacentral:rRNA from 1 species